rnacentral:rRNA from 1 species
CCUACGGGAGACUGCAGUAGGGAAUUUUCGUCAAUGGGCGCAAGCCUGAACGAGCAAUGCCGCGUGAACGAGGAAGGUCUUCGGAUCGUAAAGUUCUGUUGAAGGGGAAAAAGAGCGGAGCGAGGAAAUGAACUCCGAUUGAUAUUACCCUUCGAGGAAGUCACGGCUAACUACGUGCCAGCAGCCGCGGUCAUACGUAGGUGGCGAGCGUUAUCCGGAUUGAUUGGGCGAAAAGGGUGCGUAGGCGGCCUGCUAAGUCUGGAGUGAAAGGUACCGGCUCAACCGGUACAGGCGCUGGAAACUGGCGAGCUAGAGAGCAGGAGAGGGCGGUGGAACUCGAUGUGUAGCGGUAAAAUGCGUAGAUAUAAGGAAGAACACCAGUGGCGAAGGCGGCCGCCUGGCCUGUUACUGACGCUGAGGCACGAAAGCGUGGGGAGCAAAUAGGAUUAGAUACCCUAGUAGUC